CCUGAACGCUGUCGGCGUGAUUAAGACAUGCAAGUCGAACGGGUGUAGCAAUACACCAGUGGCGCACGGGUGAGUAAGGCAUCGCUAAUCUGCCCUGGAGCCUGGGAUAGCCAGUCGAAAGACUGGGUAAUACCAGAUGAGACCACGAACCGGCAUCGGUUUGUGCUCAAAGGUCCGCCGCUCUGGGAUGAGGCGAUGUGGUAUCAGCUAGUUGGUGAGGUAACGGCUCACCAAGGCUUCGACGCCUAGCCGGACUGAGAGGUCGGCCGGCCACAUCGGGACUGAGACACUGCCCGGACUCCGUACGGGGG
rnacentral:rRNA from 1 species